GACGAACGCUGGCGGCGUGCUUAACACAUGCAAGUCGAACGGAAAGGCCCUGCUUUUGUGGGGUGCUCGAGUGGCGAACGGGUGAGUAACACGUGAGUAACCUGCCCUUGACUUUGGGAUAACUUCAGGAAACUGGGGCUAAUACCGGAUAGGAGCUCCUGCUGCAUGGUGGGGGUUGGAAAGUUUCGGCGGUUGGGGAUGGACUCGCGGCUUAUCAGCUUGUUGGUGGGGUAGUGGCUUACCAAGGCUUUGACGGGUAGCCGGCCUGAGAGGGUGACCGGCCACAUUGGGACUGAGAGACGGACCAGACUCCUACGGGAGGCAGCAGUGGGGAGUAUUGCACAAUGGGCGGAAGCCUGAUGCAGCAGCGCCGCGUGCGGGAUGACGGCCUUCGGGUUGUAAACCGCUUUCGCCUGUGACGAAGCGGGAGUGACGGUAAUGGGUAAAGAAGCACCGGCUAACUACGUG
rnacentral:rRNA from 1 species